GUCGAGGGGCAGCAUGGUCUUAGCUUGCUAAGGCCGAUGGCGACCGGCGCACGGGUGAGUAACACGUAUCCAACCUGCCGUCUACUCUUGGACAGCCUUCUGAAAGGAAGAUUAAUACAAGAUGGCAUCAUGAGUCCGCAUGUUCACAUGAUUAAAGGUAUUCCGGUAGACGAUGGGGAUGCGUUCCAUUAGAUAGUAGGCGAGGUAACGGCCCACCUAGUCUUCGAUGGAUAGGGGUUCUGAGAGGAAGGUCCCCCACAUUGGAACUGAGACACGGUCCAAACUCCUACGGGAGGCAGCAGUGAGGAAUAUUGGUCAAUGGGCGAGAGCCUGAACCAGCCAAGUAGCGUGAAGGAUGACUGCCCUAUGGGUUGUAAACUUCUUUUAUAAAGGAAUAAAGUCGGGUAUGGAUACCCGUUUGCAUGUACUUUAUGAAUAAGGAUCGGCUAACUCCGUGCCAGCAGCCGCGGUAAUACGGAGGAUCCGAGCGUUAUCCGGAUUUAUUGGGUUUAAAGGGAGCGUAGAUGGAUGUUUAAGUCAGUUGUGAAAGUUUGCGGCUCAACC
rnacentral:rRNA from 1 species